GAGUGGCGAACGGGUGAGCAAUACAUCGGAACACGUCCUGUAGCGGGGGACAACCCCGAGAAAUCGGGGCUAAUACCGCAUGAGCUGAGAGAGGAAAGCAGGGGACCGCAAGGCCUUGCGCGAGAGGAGCGGCCGAUGCCCGAUUAGCUAGUUGGUGAGGUAAUAGCUCACCAAGGCGACGAUCGGUAGCUGGUUUGAGAGAACGACCAGCCACACUGGGACUGAGACACGGCCCAGACUCCUACGGGAGGCAGCAGUGGGGAAUUUUGGACAAUGGGGGCAACCCUGAUCCAGCCAUGCCGCGUGUGUGAAGAAGGCCUUCGGGUUGUAAAGCACUUUCGGACGGAACGAAAUCGCGCGGGUGAAUAUCCCGCGUGGAUGACGGUACCGUAAGAAGAAGCACCGGCUAACUACGUGCCAGCAGCCGCGGUAAUACGAAGGGUGCGAGCGUUAAUCGGAAUUACUGGGCGUAAAGUGUGCGCAGGCGGCCCCGCAAGUCGAGUGUGAAAUCCCCGGGCUUAACUUGGGAAUUGCGCUCGAAACUACGGGGCUCGAGUGUGGCAGAGGGGGGUGGAAUUCCACGUGUAGCGGUGAAAUGCGUAGAGAUGUGGAGGAACACCAAUGGCGAAGGCAGCCCCCUGGGCCAACAC
rnacentral:rRNA from 1 species